rnacentral:lncRNA from 1 species
CAAUGCACUGUCUUGAACUCCAACAUCAAAGUGUUUCUUCGACCUCGCCUCCAUCCGAACACCCAUCUCUUUCAGGACCAUAAGCAGCUCUGCUCCUCGUCUCCCACGCUGUGGACAGGGAUCCCUGCUCCUGGGCUCUUUCACCUUUCGUGAACUGAGCCCCCUUCUGAAGUAAGGCAUGGGCACCCCGAAUGGAAAUGGCUGGAUUAAUGCGCAUGCAUGUCCACACUGGUGCAGGGCACCUGCUUUUCUGGGACAAUUGCCAUCUGGAAUCAGACGCCUUCCUCAUUGUGUGCCUAUUUCUGGACAAAGAAAAGGAGAACUGGAUGAGAAGCAGGCCUCCUCUCCCACAUCCUCCAGCCGCCUGGCAGGCCCAACUAAGACACCCGCUCCAGCUCAGGGCCUUGGGUGCUGCCCUGCCUGCUCUGCUGAUGGCUGCCUACUGCCCCCCCCCACCACCAGAGCAGCAGAGUUCCCCUCAGUAGCUUUCAGGGGCUGGAAGGAAAGUGGGACGCCUCUCCCGGCAGGAACAGCAGCAGGAUGGCUGAUUCCCAAGAGCAGCUUCCUGACACCCCCGCCCCAGCACCCCUGGGUCCAGUCACCAUUCAGAUACAUCUCUCGAUGGGCUGCAAGGAAAAGAACAGUGUCAGAGGACAAGGCCGGUUUACAUACAACUAACUGA